rnacentral:rRNA from 1 species
CCCGCACAAGCGGUGGAGUAUGUGGUUUAAUUCGAUGCAACGCGAAAAACCUUACCCACCUUUGACAUGUACCGGAACCCUCUAGAGAUGGAGGGGUGCCCGAAAGGGAGCCGUAACACAGGUGCUGCAUGGCUGUCGUCAGCUCGUGUCGUGAGAUGUUGGGUUAAGUCCCGCAACGAGCGCAACCCUUGUCAUUAGUUGCUACAUUUAGUUGGGCACUCUAAUGAGACUGCCGGUGACAAACCGGAGGAAGGUGGGGAUGACGUCAAGUCCUCAUGGCCCUUAUAGGUGGGGCUACACACGUCAUACAAUGGCCGGUACAAAGGGCUGCCAACCCGCGAGGGGGAGCUAAUCCCAUAAAACCGGUCGUAGUCCGGAUCGUAGUCUGCAACUCGACCCCAUGAAGUCGGAAUCGCUAGUAAUCGCGGAUCAGCACGCCGCGGUGAAUACGUUCCCGGGCCUU